UACGUAGGGUGCAAGCGUUAAUCGGAAUUACUGGGCGUAAAGCGUGCGCAGGCGGUUGUGCAAGACAGAUGUGAAAUCCCCGGGCUCAACCUGGGAACUGCAUUUGUGACUGCACGGCUGGAGUGCGGCAGAGGGGGGGUGGAAUUCCACGUGUAGCAGUGAAAUGCGUAGAGAUGUGGAGGAACACCGAUGGCGAAGGCAGCCCCCUGGGAUAAGACUGACGCUCAUGUACGAAAGCGUGGGGAGCAAACAGG
rnacentral:rRNA from 1 species